rnacentral:rRNA from 1 species
UACGUAGGGGGCAAGCGUUGUCCGGAAUUAUUGGGCGUAAAGAGCUCGUAGGCGGUUUGUUGCGUCGGCUGUGAAAUCCCCGAGGCUCAACCUCGGGCCUGCAGUCGAUACGAGCAAACUAGAGUGUUGCAGGGGAGACUGGAAUUCCUGGUGUAGCGGUGAAAUGCGCAGAUAUCAGGAAGAACACCCGUGGCGAAGGCGGCUCUCUGGGACGGUACUGACGCUGAGACGCGAAAAGCGUGGGGAGCGAACAGG